GCAUUGCUGAAGAGUCCCAAACCAGGACGAAACAGUUGUCCAGCAC
rnacentral:hammerhead_ribozyme from 1 species